rnacentral:lncRNA from 1 species
GGAAGAGGCUCAGCUCAGAUGCUGGCAAAGGAGCAUCCAGCCACAGAGACCAGAGAACACCUUCCUUUUUGCUGCCUCGUCUCCAUCCUUUCUAGAGGGUUUUAUAUUUGCACUCUCUCUUUUAAAAUUUUGUUUCUUUGACUUUUCCCCACCUCUGCUCUGGUUUUAUGAGGGCUUUGUUAAGUCUUAGACGGGAAAGAGACUGAGUGAGGGAAAGAAAGAGGCAAAGUGGAAAGGACCACAAAUUGGCAAAGCCUGUUCUGCUUUUGCUGUGGAUGAAAGUCCUCUGUUUGUAAAGCCCUCUCGGCGUGAGCAGCACGCGCACCCUCCAGAGUAGCCGGACCCUGCACCGCACCUCGGCGUGGCCACCAUGGUCGCCAGAGUUCAGCCUGAUCGGAAACAGUUGCCGCUAGUCCUACUGAGAUUGCUCUGCCUUCUUCCCACAGGACUGCCUGUUCGCAGCGUGGAUUUUAACCGAGGCACCGACAACAUCACCGUGAGGCAGGGGGACACGGCCAUCCUCAGAAUGUGGUCAGAAAUAUUCCCCAAGAGGCUGGUCAUAUUGAUGAAAUAAGACAAUGAUUAUUUAAGGACAAUAGAAGCUUAAAGUAUUCAUCAAAUGUUUUUCAGCUAAACUAAUGUGGUACAAUCCACAUACCAGGACAAUAUGGAGAAAUUGUGACACAGGCCAAGGAGUUGAUGGAGAGCUAGAAGAUAGAGGAUUGAAGACAUUUAGAAAAACUAUGAAAACCAGAAAGAUCAGGGUAAGGACAUGCUACACUAGCUCACCCUCUGUUGUGUCUUUUAUUGUGCUAGGAAAGAUGGUCAUUGUUACUUAUAAAAAUCUCCUCCCCCAAAGUUGCUCUUCUUCCCCUCCCCCAAUCCCAGGAAGACUUUCAUGGAAAAUAGAACCUUUCUGUUAUGCUUACCCAGCUCUGUUCAGAGCCACAGGAUUGAAUACACUCAGAGGCAUAUCCAGCUAAUGCAAACCCUGCUAGCCAAAUAGUUUUUCCAGGCUGAGGGAUGAAGUCAGAUAUGAAGGAAAAGAGUAUAGGAAUAGAAAUGAUAAUUGAGGUCUUCUGAGAGUUAAGAGAGAGAUUAUUCAGUAUAGGAAGCAAAAAUGUCAAGAAAUGGGUUGCAGUCCUGUAAUUUCAUUGGACUAAUUGUGAGUCCUUGAAGCUCGAUUUCCUCUUUACAAAACGAAGGGAUUUGUCAUGAUGUCCUAAUGGUGCCAAUGUGAUGUAAUUAAGUCUAUUCAAGAAAUAAUCCUUAUCUUGAUUAGGUAAAUAGGACUUGAUUAAUUCCACUCUGAUUAACCACUGCCUCUCAACCUCUUCUAGAGGCAUUUUACCCAUUCUACCCAGCAAUUCACCAUCUUCUCCCAGCAGAGAUGAAAAAUGCCCCAGUCUCCUUCAUGAUAGAGAUCAAGCCAAGAUCUAAAUGCUGUAAAACAUAAAACACUUCUGCAGAUGGUUGUGGUUUGCCUUGCAAGUGGAAUGGCAUUGGUGGAGACAAGAUGAGGAGGGGAGAAAAGGAGGGGGGUAUAAAGGAGAGUUUCCUUUAAAACAUCAAAAAGACUUUAUAGAUCUUUUCUGCCCUUUCAUGAAGACUUCAUCUGGCAGCCAGAUUGCCUUAAUGGUCUGCCUAGAAAGACCCACCCUGGCCUGACAUAGCCAGACACACACUUUCCAGCUUUGCUUUGCUUCUUUGAUGCUGUCACAUGUUCUUCAUUUUCUACAUUUCAUUCAUUCUUUGCCUUUAAGCUAUAAGGAUAAAAGUGCCUGGCAUUAAAAAAAAAAUCAGUGUACAUUUUUUAAAGGGGCAGGCAUUUCAUGCAGCUUUGAUUUCCUUCUGGGAGAAAAUCAUUACUUUUCUUUAAAGGAGAAAUUAGAUUUUUUUCUGCUUCCUCUCCCUGCUUUCCACCCUUCACCCCAACGCUCCCAUUUUUCAGCAGUAAGAAAUAACACUGGGUUUAGUGCAGGAACGGGCUAGAGAAAUGAUUGUCUCCUAGAAAGCACUUAUGCCACUACAAUGAAUAAAAAAGCCUAAGCAUUCAUUUACUGCUAAACAAUGACGAAAGACAAUUGGAAUGUUUUAAAGGACUGCACUAUAUUCAACAUCUGGUAAACAUUGGUUGAGAUAGCUGUUUUUAAAACCAGGUGGUGUAGAGGAGGAACGAUAACCAGUAGAGUAUGAUUUUUAUAACCUUUGAAAUGUAUAAGAAGGUUACAUAGAGAGGUCUGAAGCAUUGUGUAUGAAGGAGCAUGUUAACAGAAACAGAGUAAAAACUCAUACUGCAAAGGAAACACUAAUACGAGAGAAUUCCUGUGUGUGGAAUACUCAUGUAAGUCACAAAAUGUGGCCACAGGGACACACUCUAGAUUUUCUCUCCAAAUUAAUGAGCCCAAUUUUAAAAAUAUGGAGUGAAUCUAUAGAAGAAGGACAAGUAGUAAUAUUAAGGAAUAAGAGUUGGCUAGAUGAGUGUCUAAAUACACACAGUGGGGGAAAAUAGGAAGUGAUAAGAUUUCCAGAUAGGAUAAAUGACUACAUCCAUAACAAGUAUUUCGAACCCAAAUGAAAGAAUAAUGUCUGGAACUGAUCCUUAGAUUUGAAUGUGGAAUAAUGCUGGAGAUAUAUGUGUAAUACACAAAAACAAAACAAAACAUUCCCCCAAACAUACAUAUUUCUAGAGGAAGAGGAAAAAUGAAGAAAUCUAUCACCCACCUAUUAAACUCCAGGAAAGGAAAUGGUGCCAAAUGUGGAAACUGGAAAAAAAAAAAUUAAAGGGAAAAUCUGCAAAGUUAAAUAAACUACAAGAAACCCCAAACCAUUCCAAAUACCUCAUUGGAAAUUCAUGAUAAAUGGCUUUAGAGGCACAAACAGGCCAAGAGCUGAUGACAGUAAAACAAAACUCUCUGAAUAACCGGCUGCGUCAGAAUAUCUCCUGUUGGAAGGAGCAAGAAAAAGCGUCUUUGGGAGAGGGGAAAACAAUUAGAAGAACAGGAUGAUCGACCAACCAGAGCAAGCACCAAAUACUUAAAAAGUAAACAUAGGAGGAUCCCAUGAAAGGUACUCAAAAUAUAAUAGUAUAUAUAUAUAAUACCUUUCAAUAAGGUAGCCUAGUCCUUGCUUGGAGCCUCUUUGAAGAUCACCCAGACCCUGUACAUCAAGGGACAGAAUCUUUUAGGGAAUUUGAAACACCAUUUGAAGGUCAGUAUAUGAACAGUGGGCUUAGGAGAAAAAAGGAAUAUCAGGAAUUCCUGUCUUGGUGCAGGAAAUGAAUCUGCCUAGGAAUCAGGAGGUUGUGGAUUCGAACCCUGGCUUCGCUCAGUGUGUUAAGGAUCCAGCAUUGCCGUCAUCUGUAGGUUGCAGAUUUGGCUCAGAUCUGGUGUUGCUGUGGCUCUGGUGUAGGCCAGCAGCAACAGCUCUGGUUAGACCCCUAACCUGGGAACCACCGUAUGCCAUAGGUGCACCCCUAAAAAGACAAAAGACAAAAAAAAAAAAGUAAGAAAGAAAGUAAAAAAAAGAAAAAUCAGGGAAGCUGAUUGCAAUAUUAAUUUCCUUUCUUUAUAAAACAAGUCUAUAAAUCUGAGUAGCACCAAUGUGUCAUUCAGAAUAAUUAGAUAAAAUAAUGACAAAGUCACUGACUUUCUCACUUCCAUACUGGUUGUACUUGUUCCAUUCAUAAUAAAAAGACUGGGAGUUCCCACUGUGGCAUAGUAGGUUAAGAAUCUGACUGCUGCUGCUCAGGUCACUGCCACGAUGAGGAUUCAAUCCUGGCCUGGCAUGGUGGGUUAAAGGAUCUGGCUUGGCCACAGCUGUAGCACAGGUAGCAGCUGGGGCUUAGAUUCAAUUCCUGGCCCAGGAACUGGAAAUUCCAUAUACCACAGGUGCAGCAAUAAAAGUUAAAAAAAAAAAAA